GCGGAGGAAAAGAAACCAACAGGGAUUGCCUCAGUAGCGGCGAGUGAAGCGGCAAAAGCUCAAAUUUGAAAUCUGGCGUCUUUGGCGUCCGAGUUGUAAUUUGAAGAAGGUAUCUUUGGGCCCGGCUCUUGUCUAUGUUCCUUGGAACAGGACGUCACAGAGGGUGAGAAUCCCGUGCGAUGAGAUGACCCGGGUCUGUGUAAAGUUCCUUCGACGAGUCGAGUUGUUUGGGAAUGCAGCUCUAAGUGGGUGGUAAAUUCCAUCUAAAGCUAAAUAUUGGCGAGAGACCGAUAGCGAACAAGUACAGUGAUGGAAAGAUGAAAAGAACUUUGAAAAGAGAGUGAAAAAGUACGUGAAAUUGUUGAAAGGGAAGGGCUUGAGAUCAGACUUGGUAUUUUGCAUGCUGCUCUCUCGGGGGCGGCCGCUGCGGUUUACCGGGCCAGCAUCGGUUUGGAGCGGCAGGAUAAUGGCGGAGGAAUGUGGCACGGCUUCUGCUGUGUGUUAUAGCCUCUGACGAUACUGCCAGCCUAGACCGAGGACUGCGGUUUUUACCUAGGA
rnacentral:rRNA from 1 species